AUACGUAGGGAGCGAGCGUUGUCCGGAAUUACUGGGCGUAAAGGGCGCGUAGGCGGCGCUUCAAGUCGUCUGUCAAAUGGGAGGGCUUAACCCUUUUUCGCAGACGAAACUGGAGAGCUUGAGAAGCAGAGAGGCAAACAGAAUUCCUGGUGUAGCGGUGAAAUGCGUAGAUAUCAGGAAGAAUACCAGUGGCGAAGGCGGUUUGCUGGCUGCAUACUGACGCCGAAGCGCGAAAGCCAGGGGAGCAAACGGGAUUAGAUACCCCGGUAGUCCUGGCAGUAAACGAUGUAUGCUGGGUGUGGGAGUAGCGAUACCUCCGUGCCGAAGUUAACGCGAUAAGCAUACCGCCUGGGGAGUACGGUCGCAAGACUGAAACUUAAAGGAAUUGACGGGG
rnacentral:rRNA from 1 species